GGCAGGGUCCCUGCCAAGUAGAAGGAAAGGCACAGCCACAUCCAGGCCAAAAAAUAAAAGACAAUGAUUUACCUCCCUCUCUACUGUCCAUAAAACAGGUCCAGCAUUCAACCAAAAUGCUUAAGUAACACAGAAAAAAGCAAGAAUAAAACCACAUUCCCAAGAGACAAAACAACCAUCAGAACAAGACACAGAUAUGACUCAGAUGUUGGAACUAUUUGAAAGGGGAUUUUAAAUAACUAUGACUGACACAUUAAAGGCUGUGAUGGAAAACGUGGACAACAUGCAAGAUCAGAUGGGCUGGGCCAGAUUCAGUAGCUCACAACUGGAAUCAUAUAUAGGCCAGGCACGGUGCUCACACCUGGAAUCAUAUAGAGGCUGGUCCCGGUGCAGUAUAUCACACCUGGAAUCAUAUAGAACACCUGGAAUCGUAUAGAGGCUGGUCCCGGUGCAGUAUAUCACACCUGGAAUCAUAUAGAACACCUGGAAUCAUAUAGAGGCUGGUCCCGGUGCAGUAUAUCACACCUGGAAUCAUAUAGAACACCUGGAAUUGUAUAGAGGCUGGUCCCCAUGCAGUAUAUCACACCUGGAAUCAUAUAGAACACCUGGAAUCAUAUAGAGGCUGGUCCCGGUGCAGUAUAUCACACCUGGAAUCAUAUAGAACACCUGGAAUCGUAUAGAGGCUGGUCCCCGUGCAGUAUAUCACACCUGGAAUCAUAUAGAACACCUGGAAUCGUAUAGAGGCUGGUCCCCGUGCAGUAUAUCACACCUGGAAUCAUAUAGAACACCUGGAAUCGUAUAGAGGCUGGUCCCCGUGCAGUAUAUCACACCUGGAAUCAUAUAGAACACCUGGAAUCGUAUAGAGGCUGGUCCCCGUGCAGUAUAUCACACCUGGAAUCAUAUAGAACACCUGGAAUCAUAUAGAGGAGUCAGUCCGAGAUUAGCGGAACCUUCCUUAGUAGGAGG
rnacentral:lncRNA from 1 species